AUACUUACCUGGCAGGAGAGACACCAUUGUCACCAAGGUGAUUUUCCCAGGGGGAGUCUGAUUCAUUGCACUCCGGGCAUGCUGACCCCUGUAAUUUCCCCAAAUGUGGGAAACUCAACUGCAUAAUUUGUGUUGGAGGGGACUGCAUUCACACUCUCCCCUG